rnacentral:lncRNA from 1 species
UGAGGCAGAAAAUUGAAAUCCUGUUCCUUGCACCUUUUUCUUCUCACAGCAGGUGAGGUUUAAGAGUUCCCUGGUCAUGAAGGAAGAAGCUCUUGCAGAACAUGGGGCUAAUUCAACACCACUCCUAAGAAGAACCAAGUCUCUGAUUUGCAAGAACCUACCUAAAAACAAGUUUGUUUCCGCAUGUUGUCUGUAUAGGAUAAACCCUGUGAACAGAAUCCAGCACUAUAUUGCAAAGCUUGAUGAUGAAGGAGGAUGAGAAUAUUUGGCCUGUUGGAGUCAAAGCCAGGCUGAAGUCAGAGGCAUGGUGCAAUUCUGUGUGCGUGAGUCCAGUUGCUGUCCCACAUGGAUGCUCCAACCUGGGCAUGAACAGAUCUAAACAACUGCAGCAAGCGGCUGAAGAAAGAAAAAAGGAAACAAGAAAGCCUGUGUACAACCCCGCUGUGACUGAAAUAAGAACAGAGGCUGCUUGGGUCACUGGGAUGCUCUGUACCAAAUAUCACCAUGGACCAAACAUGCUCAGGUAAGAGGUGACCCUGGAACACAAAAACAAGACCUGCUCCAAUUUUCCCUAUUAAGACAACUGACCAAAACAAAAACCAAUCUGCUUUUAUCACUAUAGCAGAACUGAGUAUAUUUAAUAAAGUGAAUAAAGCCACAUUAAAUCCUAGUGUC